rnacentral:tmRNA from 3 species
GCUCUUCCCUUACCCGAGCCGGAUGCUUAUAUUCAGCCUGUCUCCGCAAGGAGACUAUGGCGAUAAACGGACAUCGUAAUAAACCAUCCGGACCCGGGGGCGGUACCCGGCGCCUCCACCCAAGCCCACCCGAGACGGUGGGUUUCGGCGGGGGCGAAAUAGGAUCGACGGGGGUGUAAAAGGUGCUCUUUUGCCCGGCAUGAUACCGCCGUUAUCGGGUCAAACUUAUAGUUGCCAACGACAACUAUGCUCCGGUGGCCGUCGCCGCGUAAUGCGGUGCCGAUACUGGUACCAAGCCCUGUAGGGUAGCACUUACAGGCGGGGCUCGGAGGCGCCUGGCAACAGAAGCCUCCACU